rnacentral:rRNA from 1 species
AGAGUUUGAUCAUGGCUCAGGAUGAACGCUGGCGGUGUGCCUUAGGCAUGCAAGUCGAACGAACCGGCUUCGGUCGGUGAGUGGCGGACGGGUGAGUAACGCGUGGGUAUCUACCCUCUGGUGGGGAAUUACUUACCGAAAGGUAAGCUAAUACCGCAUAAUCUCUUCGGAGCAAAGGGCUUAACAGCCCGCCGUUGGAGGAGCCCGCGUCCUAUCAGCUUGUUGGUGGGGUACUGGCCUACCAAGGCGAUGACGGGUAGCUGGUCUGAGAGGACGAUCAGCCACAGAACCACUGAGAUACGGGGUUCACAUCUACGGAUGGCAGCAACCGGGAAUAUUGCGCAAUGGACGAAAGUCUGACGCAGCGACACCGCGUGGGGGAUGAAGGCCUUCGGGUUGUAAACUCCUUUUAAUUCACCGUCGAGGUGAAUGGAAUAAGUACCUGCAAACUACGUGCCAGCAGCCGCGGUAAUACGUAGGGUACAAGCGUUAUCCGGAUUUAUUGGGCGUAAAGGGUUUCGUAGGCGGUUUGGUAAGUAGCGGGUUAAAGGCCCAGGCUCAACUUGGGGAAAGCUCGUUAAACUGCCAGACUAGAAAGUUGUCGGGGAAGCUGGAAUUCUGCAUGUAGGGGUGAAAUCCGUUGAGAUGCAGAAGAACACCGAGGGCGAAGGCAGGCUUCUAGGCAAAUUUUGACGCUCAGGAACGAAAGCUAGGGUAGCGAAAGGGAUUAGAGACCCCUGUAGUCCUAGCCGUAAACGAUGUCCGCUAGUUUCCCGACUUUUAAAGUUGGGGGACGUAAGCUAACGCGUUAAGCGGACCGCCUGGGAAUUACGGCCGCAAGGCUAAAACUCAAAUGAAUUGACGGGGAGACGCACAACCAGUGGAGCAUGUGGUUUAAUUCGAUACGAAGCGUAGAACCUUACCUGGACUUGACAUGCUAGUUGCUACCCCCGGGAAACCGGGGUUCCUUCGAGGGUACUAGCACAGCUGCUGCAUGGCUAUUGUCAGCUCGUGUCGUGGGAUGUUCCCUUAAGUGGGGUAACGAGCGCAACCCUUGCCUUGUGUUAGAUUUGUCACAAGGGACUGCUCUGGUUUUACCAGGGAGGAAGGAGAGGACGACUUUAAGUCAGCAUGGUGUUUAUGUCCAGGGCGACACACAUCCUACAAUGGGUGGGACAGCGGGUUGCUAAACCGUAAGGUGGAGCCAAUCCUUAAAACCCAUCCCCAGUUCGGAUUGAGGGCUGAAAUUCGCCCUCAUGAAGUUGGAAUUGGUAGUAAUCGCGGGUCAGCAGACCGCGGUGAAUACGUUCUCGUCUCUUGUACACACCGCCCGUCAAUUGAAGAAAGUUGGGGGUGGCCGAAAUCUUCACUUUGUGAGGCCUAAGCCAAACUCAGCGAUCA